ACCUGCUCCUGUAGUGGUCUCCAUAUGACAAAUGGCACCCUAUUCCCUAUUUAGUACACUACGUUUGAUCAGAUCCUUAUAGGCCCUGAUCAAAAGUAGUUCACUACAUAGGGAAUAGGGUGCUAUCUGGGAUGCAAGCAUGGUGUAGAUUUUCCACAGGAAGUUGACUGUCCAGACAGACUCACACACCAUAUUCCGAUCUAUUCCUGAUUAGUGUAAAAUACAUGCAUAUUCUACACAGUGAUGAUGAGGAUGAUUUCCUUAUUUUGCCAUUUGAGUUAAUCAACCUCAGAGGAGAAGUAGAGUGUUUGUUUCUCAAUCCCACGCUUGACAGGAACCUCCGAUGUUUAUGCUGGGCAGGAGCAAAAAUGGGCUCCCGAUUGAAAGACUCUGGUCUACUUUAGAGGUCUAGCACUGUAUUUCUGUUCAGGUGUACCACUGGUCUACUCUAGGACAUUGAUUAUAUUAAGAGUGAAUAUCUAUUCAUGCGUACCACAGUCACCACCAUGCUAUGGAGGUCCUGGUUCAGUCUCUGCUGGAUCUAGACGUGAGGGACAGCCAGGGGCGCACCCCUCUGGACCUGGCUGCCUUAAAAAGCCUUGUGGAGUGUGUUGACGUCCUCAUCAACCAGGAAGCCUCCAUCCUGGUUAAAGACUUCACUCUGAAGAGGACCCCCAUCCACGCUGCAGCAACCAACGGACAUUCGGAGUGUUUGCGUUUGCUGAUUGGAAAUGCUGACAUCCAGAGUACAGUGGACAUUCAAGACGGAAUAGUCACUUGGGUUUUGGAUACAAUUCCUGAAAUAAAGAGAUUUUGAAACUGGGGCUGCAUCCAAAAUGGCAACCUGUACCCUACUUGGUACAGUACUUUAAACCAAAGUCCUAUGGGCUCAGGUCAAGAGUAGUGUACCAUAUAGGGAAUAGGUUGCCAUUUGGGACUCAGCCUGGUUACUACCAGUUUGUAAUAUGACCUGUUGUCUUGUGUAUCAGAACCCCUCUGAUGCUGUCGGUGCUGAGCGGACACAGACUGUGUGUACUCCCUGUUCAACAAGGGAGCAAGCGUAGAAGCCAAAGACAAAUGGCACAGAACAGCUCUACACAGAAGGGUUGUGAGGAGAGUUGGCUGCGGUGACUUUUCACGAGGAGUGCAGCACAGUGCCAGCUUCCUGGUUCGGGAAGGUAAGGGGCGGAGCCAUGUCCACCUGGUGGCGGCGUCCGGACACAUCGGGAUACUGGGGUGGCUCCUACACACCGCCCAGUCAGUGUGGACCCUCCCCGUCAUCACAGACAACCAGGGCUACACGCCACUACACUUGGCCUGCUACAACGGAGGUUCGUCAUAUGAAGGACAUUCAAGUGGAUGUGACCCCUAACCUGCAAUAGGGGCUCAGUGAGGUGACAGACAUCCUGUAAUGGAUCUCCAGCUAGUGUCUGAGGACCUGGAGAAGGCUGUGUCUACAGCUGUGGGGCAGGACAAGCAUGGGACAGACAUCCUGAACGAAUCUGAUGUCAGAGCUCCCAUCAGCCCUCUACACCUCGCUUCACCACCAUGCUAUGGAGGUCCUGGUUCAGUCUCUGCUGGAUCUAGACGUGAGGGACAGCCAGGGGCGCACCCCUCUGGACCUGGCUGCCUUAAAAAGCCUUGUGGAGUGUGUUGACGUCCUCAUCAACCAGGAAGCCUCCAUCCUGGUUAAAGACUUCACUCUGAAGAGGACCCCCAUCCACGCUGCAGCAACCAACGGACAUUCGGAGUGUUUGCGUUUGCUGAUUGGAAAUGCUGACAUCCAGAGUACAGUGGACAUUCAAGACGGAAUAGUCACUUGGGUUUUGGAUACAAUUCCUGAAAUAAAGAGAUUUUGAAACUGGGGCUGCAUCCAAAAUGGCAACCUGUACCCUACUUGGUACAGUACUUUAAACCAAAGUCCUAUGGGCUCAGGUCAAGAGUAGUGUACCAUAUAGGGAAUAGGUUGCCAUUUGGGACUCAGCCUGGUUACUACCAGUUUGUAAUAUGACCUGUUGUCUUGUGUAUCAGAACCCCUCUGAUGCUGUCGGUGCUGAGCGGACACAGACUGUGUGUACUCCCUGUUCAACAAGGGAGCAAGCGUAGAAGCCAAAGACAAAUGGCACAGAACAGCUCUACACAGAAGGGUUGUGAGGAGAGUUGGCUGCGGUGACUUUUCACGAGGAGUGCAGCACAGUGCCAGCUUCCUGGUUCGGGAAGGUAAGGGGCGGAGCCAUGUCCACCUGGUGGCGGCGUCCGGACACAUCGGGAUACUGGGGUGGCUCCUACACACCGCCCAGUCAGUGUGGACCCUCCCCGUCAUCACAGACAACCAGGGCUACACGCCACUACACUUGGCCUGCUACAACGGUAUGUACUGGACAGAGGGACAGCGAAGUGGGCCAGAGGCCACAAACAAAUACACACAUAAACAUAGCGUGUCUUAAAUCACCACAGCCAGCUUCAGGAGGGCACGAACCGAGACAGUCCGCACAGGAACCUUAAGAGUCCCUCAGACAGAGAGAGAGAAGAGGGAGGGAUAGGGGGAGGCACAACAGGCCCACACUCAUCCUCUCAUACCACCAGGUUCCCUUCCAGCAGAUACUGCACUUCAGAGGAACUGCUGCUGCUAUACCCCAUCUUUACCUUUACCCACAAAGGUCCUAAACGGUAGAAAGUGUCCGGCCAACAGACAGACGCACACCUUAUGACGGCAAUAACCUGUAGUCCAAGGGGAUAGUAGCACUUCACUGAGAGCAAAACAGACAGGGACCAAAAGAUGUGGAAGAAGCAUUUUCAAAACCUGUUUUGACUGUAGAAAUUGGGCUGAGUGUUUGUGCUGAGAAAAGACAUAAGGAGUGAUGUUUCAUUUAAGUUUCAUGAGAGUGAUUGUCAUGUUUAUCCGCACACUAAGACAGUCAGAACGCACCUAGCCUCUUGUCUGUAAUCCAUGUGGGAGGAGGGGAAAUCAUACAUUCUGUAUGAACAAAUAUU